GUGCCGAGUCAAACUACCUCACAUAAAAUGGGACGGAUGGAGUAAUAAAUAACCGAAGAACUGAACGCUAACCCCUAUCCACCACUAUGUCUUGUUUCAUCUAACCACAUAUGCAUAGUGUACUUCUCUUUCCAUCAGUGUUCUUAAUGGCGCUCGCCAUUCGCCAAAGGAGAGAAGGCGAGGCGAGGCGAGGAUGUCGCGCCAUUUCCCAGUGAGGCGCGGCGAGAUCAGUUAGGCGACGUGAGGCGACGUAAAGGCGACGUGAAUGGCGGCGCCUUUUAGUAUUAAAAUUUUAAAAAGGUUUUGACUUAAUAAUAUUAGUCAAAAUUAGGGUUUUUUUUCAUAUUUCCAAAAUUGGGACUCAGACGCGAUUCUGCUUCUCCUUCAACCUCGCGAUUCUCUUCUCCUUCAGUUGACUCGCGCGAAUUGAAAGUCAAUUCAAUGGCGGAUGCUAGCAAAAAGAGGGAUAUUGGAUGGAAUUAUGGUACUCAAGGAGCAACGAAAGAUUCGGUUAAUUGUAACUUUUGUGGGAGUACUUUUAAUGGUGGAAUAACUCGACACAAACAACAUCUAGUGGGUGGUUUCAUGAAUGUUAAACAAUGUACAGCUUGUCCGUCGGAGAUUAGAGAAGAAGUAAGGGCUUAUAUGCAAAAUAAAAUCGCUAAUAAUCCCAAAUUUCAAGUGAGGCAGCCGGAAGAAUAUAUUGAUAUUGAUGAUGUUGAUGAUAUGGAUGAAUAUGCGGAAAUGAAGCCUCCCUCCAAAACUCCAAAGAUAUCUUCUAGUGGAGGUGCAUCAUCCACCGCACGGAAUGUGACGAAAGGCCCUAUGAAUCUCUAUUUUCCACAUAAAUCAACACAAAAAGGAGGCUUUGAAAAAGGAGAAGGAAUUGAUGAAACAAA